CCUACGGGUGGCAGCAGUGGGGAAUAUUGGACAAUGGGCGAAAGCCUGAUCCAGCCAUGCCGCGUGUGUGAAGAAGGCCUUCGGGUUGUAAAGCACUUUCAGUGGGGAAGAAAGCCUUGGGGCUAAUACCCUCGAGGAAGGACAUCACCCACAGAAGAAGCACCGGCUAACUCCGUGCCAGCAGCCGCGGUAAUACGGAGGGUGCGAGCGUUAAUCGGAAUUACUGGGCGUAAAGCGCGCGUAGGCGGUCUGAUAAGCCGGUUGUGAAAGCCCCGGGCUCAACCUGGGAACGGCAUCCGGAACUGUCAGGCUAGAGUGCAGGAGGGGAAGGUAGAAUUCCCGGUGUAGCGGUGAAAUGCGUAGAGAUCGGGAGGAAUACCAGUGGCGAAGGCGGCCUUCUGGACUGACACUGACGCUGAGGUGCGAAAGCGUGGGUAGCAAACAGGAUUAGAUACCCCGGUAGUC
rnacentral:rRNA from 1 species